GGGUGGCCAGAUGCAGCAGAGCAACGGGGCGGCUACUGCUCUGUAUGAUCAGCAGGGCAAUGCCAGCCCUGCUGGUGAUGCCGGAGACGCUGUCAUGGCGCGAUGGCUUCAGUCAGCCGGCUUGCAGCAUCUGGCCUCUCCAAUGGCUUCUACUGGUGUGGAUCACCGCCUCCUACUUAUGCAGGGAUAUGGGGCUCAGUCUAUGGAAGAGAAACAGAG
rnacentral:misc_RNA from 1 species